rnacentral:misc_RNA from 1 species
AACAUCGCGCACCUGCGGGAACCUGCGGAGGGAUCAUUACAAAGCCUUGGCCGGUCCCCGGUCCGGCCGCUGGAAGCACCGGCGGGGGCUCUCGUGCCUGCCGGUGCGGACGGUUGACCCUUUGUGAAAACCCCCCUUGUUGAUUUGGCAGCAUCUCCCGGGUCUGCCCCGGGGGGAAUCAGCCUGCCGGUAACACCUUUGGAAAACCCUUUGUCCUGAAAGGUAGCAACUGACAACGUC